rnacentral:lncRNA from 1 species
GCAUUUGCCAAAGAUUAAAACCGGAGUAUUCUAGACAAUUUUCUUAGUAGGCAUGUGCGUUCGUGUUGUAUUUCAUAAGUCAUUGUUAGGCGGGUGCCAUUGUCUUCGCAUCGCAACAAUGCAAGCGCCUACCAAAUGUUUAGGAACCCUUAAAAUAACACGCUUCCUCAUCUUCAAAGGAAGGUCCAAGAUUUGUCUUAAAAUUUGUAAACAUUAAUUAAGGACAAUGCCAGGGUGUGGGCUCAAAGUUUGCCCAGCAGUGGGAGUAGUUCCAGGGGGUUCCAUAGUGCACUUUGAACACGUAAUGCAAAUAUUUUUGAAAUCGCUCCCUGGAGUCCCGAGGAAAACCGGUUCAAAUAUUCCACAUGAACAGUCGCUUUACAAAGCUUGAGCCAUUUGUCCAGUAGUGGGAGUGGUCAAAACAGGUUCUUGACUUCACUCUUAACACGAAAUUAAAAUAUUUUUGAAAUCGGUCCCAGGGGUCCCGAGGAAAACCGGUUCAAAUGUUCUCCAUAGUUAGUCACUUAACAAAGCCUGAGCCAUUUGCCCAGUAGUGAAAGUGGUCGAAAUAGGGUCUUUACUGCACUGUAAACACGAAAUCCAAAUAUUUUGGAAAUCGGUCCCAGAGGUCCCGAGAAAAACCGGUUCUAAUGUCAAACUCGAACAGUCACUUUAUAAAGCUCAAGCCAUUUGCCCAGUUAUGGGAAUGGUUAGAAUAGGUUCUUUACUUCACUGUUAAUACGAAAUCCAAAUAUUUUAGAAAUCGGUCCCAGGGGUCCCGAGAAAAACCGGUUCUAUUGUUCUCCUUAGAUAGUCACUUAAAAAAGUCUUUGGCAUUUGCCCAGUAGUGGGAGUGGUCAAAAUAGGUUCUUUGCUUCACUCUUAAUAUGAAAUUAAAAUAUUUUUGAAAUCGGUCCCAGGGGUCCCGAGGAAAACCGGUUUAAAUGUUCCACGUGAACAGUCUGUUUACAAAGCCUGUGCUAUUUGUCCAGUAGUGGGAGUGGUUGGAACAGGUUCUUUAAUUCACUCUUAACAAGAAAUCAAAAUAUUUUUGAAAUCGGUCCCAGGGGUCCCGAGGAAAACCGGUUUAAAU